rnacentral:rRNA from 1 species
GACGAACGCUGGCGGCGUGCCUAAUACAUGCAAGUCGAGCGAAGUUUUUCUGGUGCUUGCACCGGAAAAACUUAGCGGCGAACGGGUGAGUAACACGUAAAGAACCUGCCUCAUAGACUGGGACAACUAUUGGAAACGAUAGCUAAUACCGGAUAACAGCAUUAACUGCAUGGUUGAUGUUUAAAAGUUGGUUUUGCUAACACUAUGAGAUGGCUUUGCGGUGCAUUAGCUAGUUGGUGGGGUAAAGGCCUACCAAGGCGACGAUGCAUAGCCGACCUGAGAGGGUGAUCGGCCACACUGGGACUGAGACACGGCCCAGACUCCUACGGGAGGCAGCAGUAGGGAAUCUUCCGCAAUGGGCGAAAGCCUGACGGAGCAACGCCGCGUGAGUGAAGAAGGAUUUCGGUUCGUAAAGCUCUGUUGUUAGGGAAGAAUGAUUGUGUAGUAACUAUACACGGUAGAGACGGUACCUAACCAGAAAGCCACGGCUAACUACGUG